CGGUACCAUGGGAGGAAGCCCCGGCUAACUACGUGCCAGCAGCCGCGGUAAUACGUAGGGGGCAAGCGUUGUCCGGGAAUUAUUGGGCGUAAAGGGUGCGUAGGCGGCCUUUCAAGUUGGAUGUGAAAUCCCCGUGCUUAACAUGGGAAUUGCAUUCAAAACAGGAGGGCUUGAGUGUGGAAGAGGUAAGUGGAAUUCCCAGUGUAGCGGUGAAAUGCGUAGAUAUUGGGAGGAACACCAGUGGCGAAGGCGACUUACUGGGCCACAACUGACGCUGAUGCACGAAAGCGUGGGGAGCAAACAGGAUUAGAUACCCUGGUAGUCCACGCUGUAAACUAUGGAUACUAGGUGUAGGGGGUAACACCCCCCCUGUGCCGCAGCUAACGCAAUAAGUAUCCCGCCUGGGGAGUACGGUCGCAAGAUUGAAACUCAAAGGAAUUGACGGGGGCCCGCACAAGCAGCGGAGCAUGUGGUUUAAUUCGAAGCAACGCGAAGAACCUUACCAAGGCUUGACAUCCCUUGACGUGCAUGGAAACAUGCAUUCCCUUCGGGGCAAGGAGACAGGUGGUGCAUGGUUGUCGUCAGCUCGUGUCGUGAGAUGUUGGGUUAAGUCCCGCAACGAGCGCAACCCUUACACUUAGUUACCAGCGGGUAAAGCCGGGGACUCUAGGUGGACUGCCGGGGACAACUCGGAGGAAGGUGGGGACGACGUCAAAUCAUCAUGCCCCUUAUGUCUUGGGCUACACACGUGCUACAAUGGCUACUACAAAGGGAAGCAAGACCGCGAGGUGGAGCAAACCCCAAAAAAGUAGUCCCAGUUCGGAUUGUGGGCUGCAACCCGCCCACAUGAAGUCGGAGUUGCUAGUAAUCGCGGAUCAGCAUGCCGCGGUGAAUGCGUUCCCGGGCCUUGUACACACCGCCCGU
rnacentral:rRNA from 1 species